AACAAUCUGCAGGCAGGAGAGCGGGACAGAGAGGUGACGUGGGGCCCGGCUGCUGCCACUCCCUGGGCUCUGGUGCCGAGCUCGUGGCAGCCCCGCGGCGGCACCACACGAAGCGAGCGCGGGGCACUCACCGUCGUGGCAGCAGACUCCGAGAUCGUGCGGUAGUUGUAUUCCUGGAAGUAGAUGUUCAGCUUGAUGAUGCCGUUCCUGUAACACAGGACGGGAGUUCAGAGCAAAUCCACGCUGUGGGAGUCCCGCGGGCACGCACCCCCAGCUGCGCAGGGGAGGGCUGCUCCCAGCCCUAACAGUGGGAACCUCUGCCUGCUGCAGGGAGAAGCCGAGAAGCGUUCCCCACUGCAGAACACGUGCUGGGGGAGGGACGUGGCUCUGCUCCUGCAAAAGCACUUGCACACCCGGAACCUUCUCCAGGGCUGCCUGCUGUGGUUUUUUCCCAGCUGCCUUAGUUGGUCUGAAGCCUCCCCUGAGCGCCGCGCUGCUUGUGCUCCGGCCGCAGGGACAGAGCAGCCGCAUCCUGCGACAGGCCCAGGGCGGCAGGAACCCAGGCUCUGUUUCUGCCCUCAGCAGCCAGUCAGGGCGCACACGGAGCGUGCUGGCGAGGCUGGGUGGUGCUAGCGAGGUGUUUGCUCACCGACCUGAAGUUAAGCAUCUUCUUUUUGUUUUGCUCUGAUUUGUUUUUAGGGCCUGGCAUAAGGGCAGGACCCGGUUGGAGCUUUGUACCAGCCCAGGCUGUGUUGCAAUACGUGGGUUAACGCAAGGCUCCUCGGCCUCCGCAAGAACUGGCUUUUCAGGCGUGCUGAGCAACGAAUGGCACGGGAGCUGCCUGUGCUUCCCAAAUCUGCCCAUUCCUUUCUUCCCCCAACUCAGGGUUUAGGUUAUCAAGGGAUAACUCAUCAGCUACCCUGUUUUUGGUGUAACCCCCUCCUGCUGCUGCUGCUGUUGGCAAUUUGGAGGCGUAAGUAUGAAGGGACGAAUGCAGCACUACAGGAGCUGAUCCCUUGCAGUUCAUCACUUUAGAGCUUCUGGGCUGCUGUAUGGGACCAACUGGAAACACAGCUCAUGUUCACGUUAAUUUAACUCCACGUUCGCAGUUGUGUCUGACCCCCUUUGUUACUGUGAGGAGCAGAGGAUGUGCGCGAGGUGCGUUUCUUGCUUCAUGUAUUUUCCAGGCAAGCGUGUGCCAAAUCUCGUUCUACCUUCUGCAUUAGCAGUGUGCGCUCUGGCUGAUGGCCAAGGCACGUGUUAAACUAACGUUAGCAGGCUCGACAGAGAAGAUACAGCGGUUGUGCUUUUCGCUUACCUGUCCAGAGUCACAUUUGUUGACAUGUCCCUUUCAUAAGACAAAAUAUGGAAAAUCCAGUCCUAGGGAAACAGAACUUAUUCAGAACGGAGAAGCAGCAUCCUGCCUAAGCACUUGCCAGGGCAGGAACCCAGGGAAGUAAGAAACCUGUCCUGAAUAGUCCUGUUUUAAUCCAGCUCUAUUGGAUUAAAAGCACGACAAAACAUUGAGUAACGUGUUCGUUGAGUGGCCUCCAUCCCGCUCCCACUCGGUGGUUUGUGCAGGGGUUACAACACGUCACCACGCUGCCUUCACUGACUCUGACUUUGCAUUCACAGAUGGUGUCAGGCUGCAGGGGCAUCCUGGUUUAACGUGGCGAGUUCAUAAGGCACUCGUCUGAUGUGCUUAGAAGGAGGCAAAGGCAAUUAACAGGAGCUUGUGGCAGAAGAUGGGAGCCCAUGAGACCUGACUGCACCUCCAGCCUCCACCACCCUCGUGUUGUGGGAAGGUGGCCCCGUUCCUGGCUGCUCUCUGCUCCCAACGGCACGAAGCUUCAAGGCGACAGCUCCCAGCGAGUGCACUGCAGACACCGACCAGGCGGCGUGUGCGAGGCAGGGAUGAAGUGGGACUUUGGAGAGGAUGCUGGUGGACUGCAGGAUGUACCACUCCGUCACCGCCUGUGCUGCACUGGUGAAGUUCCUGUAGGUGCAGUUGUUGGAGCCCUGGUGGCUGCA